UGACCUGUGUCCACCUCGGUCCCCGCUCCGGUCCCUGCUGACCUGUGUCCGCCUCGGUCCCCGCUCCGGUCCCUGCUGACCUGUGUCCACCUCGGUCCCCGCUCCGGUCCCUGCCAUGGUCCCUGCUGACCUGUGUCCACCUCGGUCCCUGCCACGGUCCCUGCUGACCUGUGUCCGCCUCAGCCCCUGCCAUGCACCAGGCGCAGGCCGCUGAGGAGACAGCACACAGCCUCGUGGGCUCCCAGCCUCGUGGGCGGCGCUGGUGGGACCAGCUCAGCGCUGAGCCUGCCUGUGUCCCACGGUGUCACUUUUGUUUUCAUCGAUAACCUGUGGUCAUGCAUUUUCUAAGGAGCUCCUCACCUGGACCUUAGGAGAUCCGUCAGGACACCUGUCUUCCUGCGAGCUUGUCGCCAGCCCCAAGGGCGCUGCUGCUGGGGUGGGGCCGUGUGCUGCACUGUCCCCAGGUUGCUGGCCACAGCCUGUCCCAUGCACAUGGGGGCCCUUCGGCAGCUCACGCUGCCGUCCACACGCCCCCUCAAAGCCUGUGGAGACACGUCCGAACGAAUGCUGUUGAAAGCCGUGUAAAUAGUGGGAAAUAGAAAUUUCUAUUACAGUUUAAGAAAACCUGAUGAAUCAUCACUAGCCACUGUUAAUAUCUAUUUGUAUUCUUAUACCUUUUCAACAUAUUUGAACAAAUAUAUAGUUUCUGGCACUAUUUUUGUACUAGGAUAACGGAGGUACUGUGUAUAUUGUGUUUAGCGGUUAAGUCCACUUGAAUAACUGUGGGUGUUGAUUUCUCAUCUUCCCCUCCCCCACCCCCACCUCCACCGGGAGAAGCAUUUCAGAGGCACAUCCUCUUGGGGACCAGCCCUACAGGCCACAGUCAGGGUUGCCCCCAGAGGGCAGCUCCUCACUGUGCGUUGUUCCCUCGUGUUGCCACGCUUUGUAAAAAUAAAAGAAUGAGCAGCCA